AAUACUAAGUAACUAAACUCUUAAUAAUACCCAAUCUUAGUUACUUAGGAAAAUGUGAAUAAGGUGCUAAUCCAUGAAAUUACACUUUGCACUUUGUUUAAGUCGGUUAGUGGAGCGUGUGUGGUUAACCGGCACACUAACUCAUAUUUAACAAGUUAGGCAAAGGGUAACUUAAUGUUUAUCAUAGUAUCGAUGGAGCGUGUGUUGUUAACCGGGACAUCGAUUGAGGGGUAAACACUUAAGGGUAUCAAGUAAUUUGUGUGACAACCUGAAAUUUCAAUUCUGUACAAACUAUAUCACUUCAAUAGAAGUUAUAGCAGUCACUGUUAACUUUCAGACCUUCUGUGUAAGUUUGAGUAAUUCAGGGUUUACACUUCAGGAAAUAUCAGGAGAGUGGGUGCACUAGGGUUUUGUGCAACACUGUUAUUCCAACACUCUAUUAUAUUAGAGAUCAUUUCAGGAAUAAAAAUAUUUUCUGCCAAAAAUAUCUCAGGACUAUAAAUAGAAUUCUGAACCAAAUUCAUUCAUUAUUCGCAUUUCCAACUAGAGAAAAGCCAUUUUCUCUCUCACGGAUCUUCGGGUUUUUAUCCCAAAUCGUGAGUACCUCUUUCUAGUAGUGUUAGAAAGCUUUAUAUGUGUUUAUAACAUGAUUUAGAAGGCUAAAUCACUAGAUUUAGGAGUUUACUCCCCAAGGUGUUCUUGGGCGGUAAACUCCCGAAACAAAACCAAAACUGACCCUUGUGUUAUAGAACUGCCUUAGACUAAAUUGUAGGUGUAUUAAGGACAAGAAAAAAAUCAAAAUCCACCCAAGUUUGGGAGUUUAUGGCCCAAGAAUAUCAUAGGCCCUAAACUCCAAAAAUCAAACUCAAAUGGUACUUUUAAGGCUCCUAAAGCCUUAGACAAUUACCUAGACUUGUUCCCAUUUAAUGAAGGGCUUGAACCACAUCAAAAUCACUUAACAAAGUGAGUUUACGGCCAAGGCAUGGUUCUUGGGCCGUAAACUCCUAAAAAGGCUACCAAGGUGUGCCUAAUGCCUUCAUAUGCUGGGAAUAAAAGUCUAGAACCUAUACCACAAGUGCAAGAGACUUGAAAGCAUCAAAAACACACCAUACUUAGAGGUUACGGCCGUAAACUCUCAGGGGAAUGGCCUCAGGGCUGCAAACUCCUAAUUGGUGUAUUUCUAGACCUUAAACCCUUCCAAGAAUUUAACCACCAAGUUAGAAUAAUUCUAGGAAUCAUUUGGGACUUCAAAACACACCAAACCCCCAUGGUUGGGACUUUACGGCCGUAAACUUAAGAGUUUACAACCGUAAACUCCAUGUGUUAUGGUAUAUGGGGAGUAAACUCACAUGUAGGGUCCUUUGGAACCCUAAACACAAAUACCUUGUCCCACAAUAGCUAAAAUGCAAUCCUUAAUGCUUAAAACACUUAUGUAAAGUGUUUAUUAUGUCUAGGAUGUCUUAACAUUAUCAAUUAGUGAUUUGAGUCUAAUUGAGUGCAUAUAUGUGUGAUUAUAUGUUCAUUAGGAUCGUAGUGCGUGUACAAGUCCUCGCUUGACACCUAGCCAUCCUAUACCGUUCAGUUCAUCCCAAUCACCAACUGCAGGUGAGUUCAUACCCCUAAUCAAUGAUAUAAAUGAUUUUAAAUGAUUUAAUAGGGGGGAAUACAAGUAGAAACAAACAUGUUAUUAAAUCAUUGAUAUGUAUUUUAUAACUGUGUUUGUCAUUUAACAGAUUUCACAUACUACAAAAUGUGAUGCAAGAAAUGGUUUUUAAAUCUUAAAAACACAUUGUUAUUAAAUGUUUUACCUUUGAAACAUAUAUUAAAUUGACAUCAAGUCAUUGUUAAAUAUUGUUCAAAAUCCAUAAGAUGUCUUACAAAACCAUUUUUCACUCUUGAACUAAUGCAUGUACACUUAUAUUCUUAUAUCUGUAUUGAUGUUAUAGUUUACAACUUUCAUUUAGUUUUUCACACUUUUGAGUAGUAAGAGUGUAUAAACAUACUUGAACAACCAAUUACCUUCCAGUAAAUUAUCAUAGGGAUAAUUUGGAGAUUUCAAACAUAAUUCCUAUUACAAGGAAUCACACAAGAGUCAGUUCAUUCAUGAGUCUAUACCAGUACAUUACCUGAUACAUGAGUACCUUUACAAUUGAUUACAUGAUACAUGAGUACGUUUACAUAUACUUACAUGAUACAUGAACACGCUUACAUGAACGCAUUACAUGAGUACCUUUACGUAGAUACACUUAACUAUGUACAUUAAAAUGAAUACUUGUAUCUCGAAUUGCGAUGAUGAUUUAUUAGUACCUUCGGUGUAAAUCUUCCUGCAUAUCCCACAGUACCUUGGGAUAUCUAGACAGGACCCUAUCCCACAGUACCUCGGGAUACCUAGAUGGGACUCUAUCCCACAGUACCUUGGGAUAUACGUACGGGACUAAGCAUUCCGGAACUCAUCUGUUAGCAACAGUGGGUGAUGAACAUCUAUGGAUGCUUGCAGUUAAUACUUAUACUAGGAAUACCUUUACAGGGACUAACCAUUCAUCCGACCUGCUGCUGCUACAGAGGACAAGUGGACAAUCUUCGAAUGUUCAUUAGGUUAUAUGUAUUACGUUAGCCCUAGUACCUCGGGUUAACAUUUACAUUCGUCUUGUUAGCACCAGUACCUCCGGCUAACACUUACAUGAUUAUAUUUUUCCUAUUUACUUCAUUUUGUGAUGCCUUCACAUAAACAAUGAGUUAGAUUAAGUACAGUAGUACUAAACAACCAAAGGAAAACUAUCAUCAUACAUACAAAACAUUCGGGUCUUGGUAGAAGACUACACUUCAUACUUACAAAACAUUCGGGUCUUGGUAGAAGACUAGACUUCAUACUUACAAAACAUUCGGGUCUUUGUAGAAGACUACACUUCAUACUUACAGAACAUUCGGGUGUUGGUAGAAGACUACAUUUCAUACUUAUAGAAAAUAAGGGUUUUUCUAGGGAUUUCAUACUUACCUCAACAUUUUCAUUUAAAGGUUUACAUGGCCUUCAUAGCAGAUUUUCAUAAGCAAGAUAACGACACUUAAUUUCUUAUGAAUUCACCAGCUUUAAAGCUGAUACUCGCUUUGAAAAUAACUUGUAUUCUCAGGUCAACAGAAGACAGGUACGAUGGCAAGGUUUUGAGAAGACGGAGCAGACAAGACUUGUCUUCUAUAUUGAUUGUAUAUUUUUUGUGUCUUAUUACAAUGAAAGAACACACAUGUAUUAAACUUUACUUAUAAUGCAAUGGAUGAUGUUAUUGCUUGUUUAUUAUAUUACACUGUUGUGAUACUAUACAUGACGUCCUCCACCCCUAAACGUUUCCGCCAUUGGUGGUUUUGGGGUGUGACAGAUUGGUAUCAGAGCGUUGUUUAUAGUGAAUUAAGUAUAUCAACCCAUAAAAGAUAUACUAACUAUAAAUACAUGGGAUUAAAACACUCUGUCUCAGAGUUAUACUUUUAAAUAAUAAAAUAUUUAAGUAAGUAUACGUGCCUGCAUUCAUACUAAAAUCAGUGUCACAAUGACAAGAACAAAAGUAUUACGAUUGUUGAAUAUCACAAGUAAGCCUGGGGAUAUAUGGUCAGUCUUGGGAAUGACAUAGCCUGAUCAACUAUGUUGGUCCGAGGAGUGAUUAGCAUAUGCCCAAGAAUGGUUGUGAUAUGGCAACAAGUCUAAAAACUUACCAACACAACCAUAAAGAAAUACCAUAGGGGUAUUUGGUCUUACUGUAAUUAUCUUAGUCAGCUCGCCUAUUUAGCUAUUUCUCAUAUCCCUUUUCUCGCGUAGAUUAACAUGGCUGGAUUUCACCAUGGCGAUCCGUACUUCCCAAACCAAGGCAAUGUUGGUUGGCUAGAGGCUAAACCAGAAGAUGAUCACCCAAUUCCUUUGGACGAUCACCAUGCUGAGGGUUUUUCUGAUAGUUCUGACUCGGAGCCAGAAGUCAACCACCUACCCCCAAAUGCUCAAAACGCAAAGCUGAACCCCCGCCCUAUGUUUCAAGGACCCACACCUCUAUGGGCCACUAACUUGAUUACAUGGAGUCAUGAACAAGGUCAGCCCAUUCCCUACAAUGGAGUCCGAAGUUUCUACAACCUCACUGAAGGAGGUUCUGCUGAUAGAGUCCUACCAAUCAUGGUGCGUAGGAUUUCUCGGAACUCGAUAAUAGCUCAGGCGACUAUCAAUCAAGUCUUGGAAGUUGACGCCAACUCUGGUGUUAACACUGUCCACAUUCGCCAACUAGAGUCUGCUCAUGAAAGGACUCUGGUCCGCAAUGCAAAUCUGCAGAGAGAACUUGCUGAAACCCAAGCUGAAGUUAGAGAACUUCGAGCUCAGCAAGCAAGGUCGGACAGGCGUAUAAGGGACAUUGAACGUCUACUGUCGGGAUCGAGGACUCAUGCUAGCAGUUCUCGUCGCCGAUAGAAUCUCGUCGACUCAUCUUUUGGAUAUAACCUAGUUUAUGUAAAACUUUGGUCUAAUUUCCUAUCUGUAUAAAUCUUAGACCUGUUAGGUCUUGAUCUAGUCUUAAUUCUGUCAAAAUUUUCCAUCUUGGUUGAUGUAAGGCCUACUUCUAGGCCAUUUUUCCCGAACUUGUUACAUCUGUAAUUCCAGUAUUAUUGACGGAUAUCUAAUCUAAUGGAAAUUAUUAUCCAAAUGCUAUCUUCUUCAUUUAGUGAUACUAUUCUUUCUGUUGUUGGGCUAUGGGGAUUUAGUCCAUGAGACACAUUCAUUAAUCAUUUAUUCUUAUCCAUUUCGUCAUCUUUUAAACGUACAGUUAAAGAUGCCGCCACGCAGGAAUCCAAGGCGAAACCCAAACAACGAAGCACCAAUACCACCACCUCCACCACCACCUGUACCUCUUCAACCACCAAAUCCUUUCGAUGCCAACAUGUUCCAGGCAGCUUUCACAGCAGCAGUUGCAGCUGCUGUGUCUGCAAUCAACGCUCCUGCCCCUAGUGGAUCAGGAACAGGUGCACCACCCUCGAACCACGGCGAAAGCCAUGGACACCCUUGGGAAUGCACCUACAAGGACUUCACUAACGCCAAACCCCGCAGCUUCAAUGGAACUGGGGGUGUAAUGGUGUUGAGACAAUGGAUUACAAAGAUGGAAUCUGUCUUUGAAAUCUGUGCUUCCCAGGAGGGCAACAAGGUCAAGUUUGCAGCUUGUAACUUCUCUGACCGAGCACUAACAUGGUGGAACAGCCAUGUUAACUAUCUAACUUUGGUGGUGGCGUAUUCCAUCGGCUGGGAAAAGUUGAAAGACAUGCUGAUGAAAGAAUACUGUCCUCGAGGUGAAAUACAAAAACUCGAGCAAGAAUUCUGGGGUCUACAAAUGGUUGGAUCCGACAUCACUACCUAUACCAAUAGGUUCUAUGAUUUGGCAAACUUAUGCCCUGAUAUGGUUGCUCUCCAGAGCAAAAAGAUCGAGAGAUAUAUUUGGGGACUGUCGCCCCAGAUGCAGUCAAGUGUGAUCGCUUCUAGGCCUAUUACCUUUGUUAGCGCCAAGGAACUGGCACAAUCUCUCAGCGAUCACCGGAAUCCUCAGAACACAACAAUCCCUACACCUGUACCACAAAAGUCCAACCCCGACUACCACAAGAAGGGGUGGAAUAAGAGGAAAAGAGGGGCUCCACAAGGAUCCUCCAAUAAGCAACAACUUAUGGCGAUCAAUGCUGCCACAGUGACUCCUGUUGCCCCUGCGAACCUCUUACCAGCAAGAACAUAUGCUGGAACCCUCCCGAAGUGCACCAAGUGCAACUACCACCACAACGGACAUUAUAAGGAGAUGCAGUGCACUCACUGCAAUAGGAAAGGGCACACCGCCUAUUUCUGCAAGGCUCCAACCGCUCAAGCUGCCCUGGCUCCUAACGCUGGUAUGGGCCAAACUUGCUAUGGUUGUGGCGAAGUGGGCCACUACAAGAGGAACUGCCCUAAAGCAGGAAUGGCUGGAGGGGUAGGAAGAGUUAUGGCCCUAGGCCACGAGGAAGCAGUAGCUGAUCCUACGACAGUUAUUGGUAUGUUCCUCCUCGAUAACUCAUACGCUUGCAUACUUUUCGAUAGUGGAGCCGAGAAAAGUUUUGUAAGUCACAAUUUUGCACACCUGCUUAAACGAAAACCAUGUGCAUUAGAUAAUUCAUUCACGGUAGAAAUGGCUAACGGGAAAACAGAGAGUACAAACUGCAUAUACGUAGGUUGUACUUUAACUUUAGAUGGCCAUACUUUCAAGAUAGAUCUCAUGCUAGUCCCAAUUAAAUGUUUCGACGUUAUCAUCGGUAUGGAUUGGUUGAGUCUUCUUCGCGCCGACAUUAUGUGCUUCGAAAAAGCAGUUCGUCUUAACCUUCCUAACAACGAAACUUUAAUUAUCUACGGCGACAAACCUAGUAUGAGCCUUCGCAUCAUUUCAUGCAUUCAAGCCCAGAAGUGCUUGCAGAAGGAGUACCAUGCAUUUCUCGCACACGUCGUCGAUACCAGUCAAGAACUAAAAGACAUCCAGAAAAUCCCAGAAGUACGCGACUUUCCCGACAUAUUCUCAUAAGAACUUCCUGGUUUACCACCACAACGCUAAGUCGAAUUCAGAAUCGACUUAGUGCCGGGGGCUACCCCCGUAGCCAAAUCUCCUUAUCGUCUGGCACCGGUUGAAAUGCAGGAACUUUCCAGUCAACUUAACGAACUUCUCAAGAAGGGAUUCAUUCGACCAAGCUUCUCACCAUGGGGAGCACCGGUCUUGUUCGUCAAGAAGAAAGAUGGAUCGUUUCGCAUGUGCAUCGACUAUAGAGAACUCAACAAACUUACCAUUAAAAAUCGUUAUCCCUUGCCCCGCAUUGACGAUUUGUUUGAUCAACUUCAAGGAGCCAACUACUUCUCGAAGAUAGAUCUGCGAUCCGGAUAUCACCAACUACGAGUGUUAGAGGAGGAUGUUCCCAAGACAGCCUUCCGAACUCGUUAUGGGCACUACGAGUUUGUAGUGAUGCCAUUCGGAUUAACUAACGCGCCCGCAGUAUUCAUGGAUCUGAUGAAUAGGGUGUGUCGUCCUUACUUGGAUCAGUUCGUCAUCGUCUUCAUUGAUGACAUACUCAUCUACUCUCGAAGUAAGGAGGAGCAUAGUCAACAUCUCCGUAAAAUCUUAGAAACAUUGCGAUCGGAGAAGCUCUACGCGAAGUUCUCAAAGUGCGAAUUUUGGAUUCGGCGAGUCGAAUUCUUGGGCCAUGUAGUUAGCGAAGAAGGUAUACACGUGGACCCUUCCAAAAUUAAAGCCAUCGAGAACUGGUCAGUAGCAAAGAUACCUACUGAAAUUCGUCAAUUUCUAGGUCUAGCUGGCUACUAUCGCAGGUUCAUUCAGAACUUCUCCAACAUAGCGAAACCUCUUACAACCCUGACCCAGAAAGGUGUGGCCAUUGCCUAGGAAGAGAAACAGGAAAGAGCGUUCCAAACGCUCAAACGAGCCUUGUGCACCGCCCCGAUACUAUCCCUUCCCGAAGGGAUAGAAGACUUCAUUGUCUAUUGCGAUGCAUCCAAUCAAGGACUCGGAUGUGUUCUGAUGCAGCGAGGUAAAGUCAUCGCCUAUGCCUCGAGACAGCUGAAGACACAUGAGGUUAACUAUACAACCCACGAUCUUGAACUAGGAGGAGUCGUGUUUGCUUUGAAGAUCUGGCGACAUUACCUGUACGGUACAAAAAUCACGAUCUUUACAGACCAUAAGAGUCUACAACACAUCUUCGAACUGAAAGAGCUCAACAUGAGACAACGACGGUGGGUCGAGCUACUUAGUGAUUACGAGUGCGAAAUUCGUUAUCAUCCGGGUAAAGCCAAUGUAGUAGCCGACGCCCUAAGUCGGAAAGAAUAUACUGGUCGUAGAGUCAAAUCUUUGACUCUAACUAUCCAUUCACACUUGUCCACGCAAAUAAAGGAGGCUCAGCUCGACGCUUUGAAACCUGAAAACGUGGCGGGUGAAUCCCUUAGAGGGAUGGAUAAGAACUUGGAAGUCAAGGGUGGCGGAGCCUUAUACCUCAUGGAUCGGAUCUGGACACCGAAACACGGUGGCUUCAGAGACUUGGUCAUGACCGAAGCUCACAACACUCGUUAUUCCGUCCACCCGGGUUCAGAUAAGAUGUAUCUGGAUCUUAAAAAGUUAUACUGGUGGCCUAACAUGAAAGCAGAUAUUGCUACCUUCGUGAGUAAAUGCCUUACUUGCGCAAAGGUCAAGGUCGAAUACCAGAAACCCUCCGGUCUUCUACAACAACCGGAGAUACCAGAAUGGAAGUGGGAGCGGAUCACUAUGGACUUCAUAACCAAGUUGCCCAAGACGACGGGUGGACUUGAUUCCAUAUGGGUCAUCGUCGAUAGACUGACCAAGUCUGCACACUUCCUACCGAUCAAAGAAACAGACAAGAUGGAGAAACUUACCAGAACUUACAUUAGGGAGAUUGUAAGGCUGCACGGUGUUCCUUUAUCUAUCAUCUCAGACCGAGAUAGUAGAUUCACUUCGAGGUUCUGGCAGUCAUUACAAAGUUCCCUAGGAACUAGGCUGGACAUGAGUACAACCUACCAUCCACAGACCGACGGGCAAAGUGAGAGAACUAUCCAAACCUUAGAGGAUAUGUUGCGUGCCUGUUUGAUUGACUUUUGCAAACCUUGGGAUAUCCAUUUACCCCUUGUUUAAUUUUCCUACAACAACAGUUAUCAUACGAGCAUAAAGGCAGCUCCAUUCGAGGCCCUCUAUGGCCGAAAGUGCAAAUCCCCUUUGUGCUGGGCUGAAGUGGGUGAUACCCAGUUAGCUAAGGGACGAGUUCCCGAAAGCACUCUCACGGGUCCGGAGAUCAUUCGGGAAACGACAGAGAAGAUCGUUCAAAUUCGUGAACGAUUGAAAGCCUCUAGAGACCGACAGAAAAGCUACGCUGACAAGCGUAGGAAACCAUUGGAGUUCCAGGUGGGCGACCGAGUCCUACUGAAGGUCUCACCCUGGAAGGGCUUGAUACGCUUUGGAAAGCGUGGGAAGCUCAAUCCAAGAUACAUAGGGCCUUUCGAGAUUCUCGCAAGAAUCGGCCCUGUGGCUUACAAGCUCAAUCUACCGAAAGAACUCAGUAACGUACAUCCUACCUUCCACGUGUCAAACUUGAAAAAGUGUCUAUCCGACGAGACUCUUGUUAUUCCACUCGACGAGAUCGAGAUCAACGAGAGCCUCAACUUCGUGGAGGAACCAGUAGAGAUCAUGGACCGAGAGGUCAAGCAAACAAAGCAGAGCCGUAUCCCGAUAGUGAAGGUGCGCUGGAACGCAAAGCGUGGACCGGAAUUCACUUGGGAACGUGAGGAUCAGAUGAAACUGAAAUACCCUCACCUUUUUGCUUAGUUAUUUGUAAUUUCUUACUUGCUUAAAUUCUAAUUUCGGGACGAAAUUCCUUCUAACGGGGGGAUGAUGUGACAACCUGAAAUUUCCAUUCUGUACAAACUAUAUCACUUCAAUAGAAGUUAUAGCAGUCACAGUUAA
rnacentral:lncRNA from 1 species